rnacentral:rRNA from 1 species
UCAAGAAACUUCCACAAUGGGCGAAAGCCUGAUGGAGCGACGUCGCGUGAUGGACGAAGUGCUUCGGCACGUAAACAUCUUUUAUGUGGGAUGAAAUUAUUGACAGUACCACAUGAAUAAGGGGCUCCUAACUCUGUGCCAGCAGGAGCGGUAAUACAGAGGCCCCAAGCGUUAUCCGGAAUCACUGGGCGUAAAGGGUGUCGAGGCGGUUGUAUUAGUCGUUCGUAAAAUCUACGAGCUUAACUUGUAGGCGGCGAACGAAACGGUACGACUUGAGGUUUGGAGAGGUGCGUGGAACUCACGGUGUAGGGGUGAAAUCCGUUGAUAUCGUGGGGAACACCAAAGGCGAAGGCAGCGCACUGGCCAAAAUCUGACGCUCACACACGAAAGCUAGGGUAGCGAAGAGGAUUAGAUACCCACGUAGUCCCUGAGCGGGCUGGCAAGGCGCAU